rnacentral:misc_RNA from 1 species
UUGUGGAGGAGGACGCCGAAGGUGGGGCUAAUGACUGGGGUGAAGUCGUAACAAGGUAGCCGUACCGGAAGGUGCGGCUGGAUCACCUCCUAACAGGGAGACAAAAACUGACUAUGAUGUCUUGGAUUAUUCUCAAGGCCAUGGUCCUGUCACCUUAGGUCGAUCGGUACCUCAAUUUGAAAGCCAAAGAAGAUUGAUUAAUUCAGUUAGAGAUCGGUAAUUAAUUUCAGUUCCUAAACUUUGUCUAGGUCACACCCAACAAGGGUUCUCCUGGGCCAUUAGCUCAGGUGGUUAGAGCGCACCCCUGAUAAGGGUGAGGUCCCUGGUUCAAGUCCAGGAUGGCCCAUUCGUUGUUGGGGGUAUAGCUCAGUUGGUAGAGCGCCUGCUUUGCAAGCAGGAUGUCAGCGGUUCGAGUCCGCUUACCUCCACUGAACCACCUUCUAAUUGUCGAAUUUAUGGAGACUUAUGUUGGUAGUGAUUUAGAUUUGUUUUACAUGAUGAACCUAGCUUCUUAUCAUUCCUACUAAUCAAUUUCAAAAUAGAUUUGGUUGAUAUGAUGCUGGGCUCACUGCAAUAUAAAAAUUGCAAGUGUGUUCAGUAGAACCUUGACAACUGCAUAGAUUUUAAGUCUGGAAAGAAUAAAGCAUCUCAUGGAUGCAUUUCUCUUUGACUUUUUGUUUCUCAACUUUGGGAGCAAAUUGUCUUGGUGAACAUGUUUAAUUCUUGAGCAAAGAGCAGAGAUCUAUUAUUUAUUUUCUUUAAUGCAUACGCAAAAAAGAAAUUUAAUUAUAGAUACAAAUGGUCAAGCUACAA